CCCUACUGGAACCAGAUGCCCUCACCAACCUCCAUGCAAUUGAAGAUGAUGGAGAAACAUUGUCUGCAGCAUUUGAAAGGGAAGAGGAAAGGCCUAUUGAGGAUGAAAUCGAAUUCAAUGAGAGGCCAUCCACUUCUAGCUCUACUUCACAGCUUACCUCUCUUCCAGUCAAAGAGCUCUAUAAAAUCUAUCUGGGAAAACAAAUAAACAAAGCAAACUUGGAAAUGG